CGGGACGUAGCUCAAGCUGGCUAGAGCACUCGGUUCGGGACUGAGAGAUUCUUGUUCAAAUCCGGCCGUCCCGA
rnacentral:tRNA from 1 species